rnacentral:rRNA from 1 species
AUUGAACGCUGGCGGCAGGCUUAACACAUGCAAGUCGAACGAGUGGCGGACGGGUGAGUAAUGCUUGGGAAUCUAGCUUAUGGAGGGGGAUAACUACGGGAAGCUGUAGCUAAUACCGCGUACCAUUGGAUGAGCCCCAGUGGGAUUGGGUAGUUGGUGAGGUAAAGGCUCACCAAGCCGACGAUCACUAGCUGGUCUGAGAGGAUGACCAGCCACCAGUGAACUGAUACACGGCCCAGACUCCUACGGGAGGCAGCAGUGGGGAAUAUUGCGCAUUGGGGGCAACCUGACGCAGCCAUGCCGCGUGAAUGAAGAAGGCCUUCGGGUUGUAAAGUUCUUUCGGUAGCGAGGCGUUCACGACAGAAGAAGCACCGGCUAACUCCGUGCCAGCAGCCGCGGUAAUAC